AUCACGCGAGCGUUGUGUCUCGGCUGGCGGGAGCCGGGGACGGGAAAGGAGAGUGCUCGACAAGGAGAAGUGCUGCUUUCUCUGGAGUGUCAUUCCGAGUGCUCCGGUGCACAGCUGCGAAGUUCCAGCCUUCCUGGUUUCAGAGGAAAGUGCUAUCUUGUGCUUAGGUUCAACUCUUCCUGCUUUUGGGUCCUCCCCCACACCUCUAAAUACGUCUCGUUAUGGAGGGUGGGAGCACGUGCUCUGCAUCUCUUCAAUUUGGAGGUUAUACCAGCAAAUUAAAUAUACUGGGGACAGUGAAAGCCAGGUUUCUUGCUGUUGGAGAAGGUAAAAACAUGGAAGAGGGAAGGCUAAAAAGAACACUGAGGGAUUGGAUUGGAACUGGAAGUGGUAGUAUGAACUCAUUUUUUUAAAAUAUGUAUAUACAGAUAGAUAUAAAGAUAGCUGUAUGUGUGUGCACACAUGUGUAGGUAUAUGUGCAUAUAAACACAGAAAUAGUUUCUAGUUCUGUCUGCUGAGUAUCUAGAUGCAAUGGUACCCCAGUACCAGUGAUCACAGCUAGCCCCCAGAUCUUAUCUUCUAAAUAAGGUUUUCCAACAAAAGGAAUCAGGGCUCUUUGGAGAAAUGGUUAAUUUCAGGGCUGGAGUGGAAGUACAAGAUGAUCCUGGAAUAAUUUUGUUGUUCAAGGAAGUGAAGAAGUGCUCAAAGAUUGACAGGAGAUCAAAGGACAUGGAAAGUAGUUGGAGGGAGUUCUUGCUGGCGAAAUCUAGGACAAUUUGAGCAACAAAACAAAGAAUGAUAUUGGCAGAUUACCACUGAGUGAGCAAAAUAGAAACGCAUGAGUUGAGUCCACACUGAUGUAGAUCAACAAACCAGUGAUGAAUGCAGGGAAAAUAAUAGUGGAGAAGGGGAGGUUCUUCUUUACAGUAGAAUGUGAACUCAUAAAUGGAGAAGGAAUUAUGAGAAUGGAAAUAACCAUUUACCAAUCACUGUAGUGGGGUUGUUGCAGGAGUGAGAAUGGAAAUAACCAUUUACCAAUCACUGUAGUGGGGUUGUUGCAGGAGUGAGCUAUCAAUGGAGGCUCAGGGUGGUAGGUGGAGAUUUGAUGAGGAAUGAGAAUGGACAUCUUUCUUCAGCAUACUUUUCCAUUACAAAGAGGAAAAUUGAGACUUUCUGGUGGGAAACACCAGCAGACACCAGCGUGGCCAGGUAAUGAGACACCUGUCACCAGUGGAGAAAAGUUGAAACUGAGUCCCCGUGCACUGUGCUGAGAAGAGCACAGCAGCACGCCUGACACUUUUCUGCCAGAAACCACAGCCUCAGUCUAGCCUAGGGAAUAUCAGAUAGACCCAGAAGGAAGGCCAUUCUGUUUUCUUUAUUACUGUCAUGAGCCAGGAACAGUGGCUCACGCUUUGGGAGACUGAGGCAGAAGGAUCACUUGAGGCUGGGAGUUCGAGACCAGCCUGGGCAAUGUAGUAAGACUCCAUCUUUACAAAAAAAAAUCUUAAAAAUUGCCCUGGCAUGGUGGCACGAGCCUGUAGUCCCAGCUACUAAGGCUGAGGCAAGAGUAUUGCUUGAGCCCAGGAAUUCAAGGCUGCAGUGAGCUAUGAUUGCACCACUGCACUCUAGCCUGAGUGACAGAGGGAAACCCCUUCUCAAAUAAAUAAAUUGUCAUAAGAGACAGGAUAAGACUAAGAAUUGUUCCAGAUUAUAUGAGACUGAAGAGACAUAACAACUCCAUGCAAUGCAUGUUCCUGGGAGGUCCCAGACAUGGGAAAAGAAGUGUGGGCACAGUUGGUGAAGCUUGGGUGGGGUCUAUGGGUUGGACAAUGUAUUGAUAUUGAUUUCUCCACUGGGAAGGUUGUGUAGUGGAGGUGAUCCUUGUUUUUAGAGUAUUUGGGGGUGCCGUGGUUUGAAUGUGUCCCUUCCAAAAUUCAGAUGUUGAAACUGAAUGGCCAAGGCCAGGUGUGGUAGCUCACCAGUAAUCCCAGCACUUUGGGAGGCUGAGGCAGGAGGAUCGCUUGAGCCCAGGAAUUCAAGACCAGCCUGGGCAACAAUGGGACCCCCAUCUAUACAAAAAAUUUAAAAAUUAUCUUUGCAUGGUGGCAUGUGCCUGUAGUCCCAGCUAUUCAGGAGGCUGAGGUGGGAGGAUCAUUUAAGCCCAGGAGAUCAAGGCCGCAGCGAGCUCUGGUCACGUCACUGCACUCCAGCCUGAGCCACAGAGCGAGAACCUAUCUCAGAAAAAAAAAAGAAACUUAGUGGUCAGUGUGAUGGUAUAAGGAGGUGAGACCAUGAGGUGACUAGGCCAUGAGGCUCCUCCCUGUGGAUGGAGGUAGUGACCUUGCAGACGAGGCUUCUGGCCAGGUGAGCACUCAACACUCCUCCC
rnacentral:lncRNA from 10 species